ACAUGAUCUAGUGUUUCAGUGUGUCUCACUCAUGGGCAGGAAUCAGUAUUUUACAAACCAGGUUUUCCUAAUUUCACCGUAAGAGUGUUUAAGUAUUACAAUGUACAAAUAAUAAUGUGUUUAAAUUCUGAAGUUGAAAUAUACAAAUUUGGAUUUUGUAAUUUAAGGGAUAAAAGGGAUAAAAAAUAUUUCUUUAUGCUGUUAUUUUUUUUAAUUUUAUUUUACAAUAUUCUAUUUUGUGAUAAUGAACGGUUUGUAUAUAGAGGGAUUGAAAUAGUGAUGCUGAAGUCAGUUUUGCUGAGCAGCAGUGCUACGUCCUUUCAUUUUCUAUUGAAAUUUAUACAAAGCAUGACAGGAUUGCUCACAGUACGGUUGAGCGCAGUGGAAAAAGUUGUAAUUAGUGAAUUUCAUUCAUUCAUUCAUAAACCAAUUUGUACAUGACAAAAUCAUUGAUAUAGAAUCUUAAAUCAAUAGAAAAUCAUAUUAAAUAGUCUGGUAAGAAUAUUGUUACAAAAUCCCUUGUAGCAACCUGUUCCUAAAGGAAGAAAUUUAAAUUAAUGCUGAAAUAAGCAGCAAUACGUAAAGCAGCACCAAUUAGUCUUUCGGCUCAUUGUUUUUUCUUUCAGUCCUGAAACUUUUACUUUUUUGGUUUACACUUAUUGCAGAGUAAAUAUUGGACUUCUAUUCAUCAGGUUUACAGAAACUCCAAAUGAACGAUAAUGUUGCUCUUUGUGUCUACUAGAUGUGUUAAUAGGCAACUGUUUGCCCACACAUUCACUGCACAUGCUUUAUUACAGGUGUGACCUUUAGAAGUAAAUUAUGUUUCAUACCAGGUAUUUUAUUUCCACACUGUCACAGUGAUAGAUAAUUAUCAGUGGGAAAUAAAAACAUUUUUUACAAUGAAUUUGUUGU